GACGAACGCUGGCGGCGUGCUUAACACAUGCAAGUCGAACGAAGUGGCGGACGGGUGAGUAACGCGUAAUCAACCUGCCCUUCCGAGGGGGACAACAGUAGGAAACGACUGCUAAUACCGCAUCCUGAAGGCGGGGAUUGCGUCUGAUUAGCUAGUUGGAGGGGUAACGGCCCACCAAGGCGAAGAGCCGUAGCCGGUCUGAGAGGAUGAACGGCCACAUUGGGACUGAGACACGGCCCAGACUCCUACGGGAGGCAGCAGUAGGGAAUCUUCCGCAAUGGACGAAAGUCUGACGGAGCAACGCCGCGGGAGUGAUGACGGCCUUCGGGUUGUAAAGCUCUGUUAAUCGGGACGCGGUACCGGAAUAGAAAGCCACGGCUAACUACGUGCCAGCAGCCGCGGUAAUAC
rnacentral:rRNA from 1 species